UUUUGUGACACAUAAAAAGUGGAAGAAACCCUAAUCCCAUCCCUAAGUCUUUCAUUUUCUUUUCAUUUUCCUCUCCAUUUUUCUUUUCCUUUGUGAUGACAAUAAUCUAUCUCUGGCAUCCAUUUCAUCCAUCUUUACUUUCAUCUUCAACGAUAAUCUUUUGAAAAAGAUCCACGGCGUCUAUACAUGUGGAAGAUAUUCCACCUCUGUUGUUGGAUGCCACCGUCGAAUAAGCUCCCCUAUUGGAUGGAACCAUCAGCUUUUAUGUGCAAACGAGUAGAAACAUACAAGGAUUCAGGAAAAAAUCCAAACCAUGCAGAGGACACUAGCAGCUUCCGAAUUUGCAAGAAAGAAGAAGCCUCCGUGGAGAGUAAUCAAGAUAUGGGGGUGGAGAUUUAGUAAAAGAAAGAGGUAAGCGUGCUUUAUGUUUUGUAACGUAACUUGACUAUUUUAUUUUAGGAAUCAUGUUAACAUGUACUUAGGAAUGUUGCUUUGACUAUCCUGCAGUGGUAGCCAUUGAAAAUCUAUUUUGUGCAAUCCGCUUAGACAUAUGUUUUAGGAAUCAUGUUGAUAUGUAUUUAGGAACUUGAUACUUUGUUGUGUUGACUAUUCUACAGUUAUGGUAGUCAUUGAAAAGCUAUUUUGUUCAAUUCGCUUAGACAUAUGUUAUAGGA